UGGGGAAUAUUGGACAAUGGGCGAAAGCCUGAUCCAGCCAUGCCGCGUGUGUGAAGAAGGCCUUUUGGUUGUAAAGCACUUUAAGUGGGGAGGAAAAGCUUAUGGUUAAUACCCAUAAGCCCUGACGUUACCCACAGAAUAAGCACCGGCUAACUCUGUGCCAGCAGCCGCGGUAAUACAGAGGGUGCAAGCGUUAAUCGGAAUUACUGGGCGUAAAGCGCGCGUAGGUGGUUAUUUAAGUCAGAUGUGAAAGCCCCGGGCUUAACCUGGGAACUGCAUCUGAUACUGGAUAACUAGAGUAGGUGAGAGGGGAGUAGAAUUCCAGGUGUAGCGGUGAAAUGCGUAGAGAUCUGGAGGAAUACCGAUGGCGAAGGCAGCUCCCUGGCAUCAUACUGACACUGAGGUGCGAAAGCGUGGGUAGCAAACAGGAUUAGAUACCCUGGUAGUCCACGCCGUAAACGAUGCUACCAGUCGUUGGGUCUUUUAAAGACUUAGUGACGCAGUUAACGCAAUAAGUAGACCGCCUGGGGAGUACGGCCGCAAGGUUA
rnacentral:rRNA from 1 species